rnacentral:rRNA from 1 species
GACGAACGCUGGCGGCGUGCUUAACACAUGCAAGUCGUACGGUAAGGCCCUUUCGGGGGUCCACGAGUGGCGAACGGGUGAGUAACACGUGAGUAACCUGCCCACAACUUUGGGAUAACGCUAGGAAACUGGUGCUAGUACUGGAUGUGUGCUCCUGCUGCAUGGUGGGGGUUGGAAAGCUCCGGCGGUUGUGGUUGGACUCGCGGCCUAUACGCUUGUUGGUGGGGUAGUGGCCUACCAAGGCGGCGGCGGGUAGCCGGCCUUAGAGGGUGACCGGCCACAGUGGGACUGAGACACGGCCCCGACGCCAACGGGAGGGAGAAGUGGGGAAUAGUGAUCAAUGGGCGCAAGCCUGAGGCAGAAACGCCGCGGGCGGGAUGACGGCCUUCGGGUUGGAAACCGCUUUCAGCAGGGACGAAGCUUUUUGUGACGGUACCUGCAGAAGAAGCACCGGCUAACUACGUG